GUCAUACGCUCGUCUCAAAGAUUAAGCCAUGCAUGUGUAAGUAUAACUAAUUGACUUUGAAACUGCGAAUGGCUCAUUAUAUCAGUUAUAGUUUAUUUGGUGAAGGAUACUAAUUGGAUAACCGUAGUAAUUCUAGGGCUAAUACAUGAGUAAAGUCCCGUAGGAUGUGUUUAUUAGAAUGAAAACCAUAUGCUUCGGCAUGAUAGUGAGUAAUAGUAACCUAUCGUAUCGCAUGCUUAAGUAGCGAUGAGUCUUUCAAGUUUCUGCCCUAUCAGCUUUCGAUGGUAGCAUAUGGGUCUACCAUGGCAGUAACGGGUAACGAA
rnacentral:rRNA from 1 species